rnacentral:rRNA from 1 species
AGAAGUCGUUGAGCUAACCCCUAUUUAUAGAGGAGGCAGGCGCCUACGGUGUGGUUGGUAAUCGGGGUGAAGUCGUAACAAGGUAGCCGUAGGUGAACCUGCAGAAGGAUCA